CAGGUGCUAAUACCGGAUAAGAAAGCGGAUCGCAUGAUCAGCUUUUAAAAGGCGGCGUAAGCUGUCGCUAUGGGAUGGCCCCGCGGUGCAUUAGCUAGUUGGUAAGGUAAAGGCUUACCAAGGCGAUGAUGCAUAGCCGAGUUGAGAGACUGAUCGGCCACAUUGGGACUGAGACACGGCCCAAACUCCUACGGGAGGCAGCAGCA
rnacentral:rRNA from 1 species